rnacentral:rRNA from 1 species
CGCGAAUAGCUCAUUACAACAGCUAUAAUUUACUUGAUCUUGACUUCCUACUUGGAUAACUGUGGUAAUUCUAGAGCUAAUACAUGCACCAAAGCUCCGACCUUACGGGAAGAGCGCAUUUAUUCGAACAAAACCAAGCGGCUUCGGCCGUCCGCAGUUGACUCAGAAUAACUAAGCUGAUCGCAUGGUCUUGAACCGGCGACGUGUCUUUCAAGUAUCUGCCUUAUCGACUUUCGAUGGUAGUGUAUCUGACUACCAUGGUGGUGACGGGUAACGGAGGAUAAGGGUUCGACUCCGGAGAAGGGGCCUGAGAAAUGGCCACUACGUCUAAGGAUGGCAGCAGGCGCGCAAAUUACCCACUCUCAGUACGAGGAGGUAGUGACGAGAAAUAACAAGACCGUUCUCACAAGAGGCCGGUCAUUGGAAUGGGUACAAUUUAAACCCUUUAACGAGUAUCAAUGAGAGGGCAAGUCUGGUGCCAGCAGCCGCGGUAAUUCCAGCU